rnacentral:misc_RNA from 1 species
ACAGGUACAACGUUUUGAGCGUUUCUUAGCAAGAGAGAAAGCAAAUCUUCCUGUUCUAAGGGUAUUUGAUGCUUUGAAGAGAUUUGAGCGAAAAAUUAAACUUGGGGCAGCGGAAUUAGCUGCAGCUGAAAAUUGAGGAAGCAAAUAAUUGAAAGAAGUGGUAACACCUGUCACCAACAUCUGCUCCUGUUCAACAGCAAUCAAACUCUACUUAAUU